ensembl:lncRNA
GCCGUGCCACCUGCACAGACCUCCACUGUGCCUCUGACUCAGUGAGGCUGGGAAACCUGAUGAACAUAACUACCACUCAGACACAGCUCUGGAAAACUGGAAACUUAGAAAACAAUGAACUGCUGCUACAAACAAACCACAAUUGGCGAAGAAUACACUUAAAGCAUCUAUGGUCAAAACAUCUGGAAGAGUCUAUUUGAAGAUGGAGUAUGUGGAGAUUACACAGUGUAAGUGGUGUGUCCUGGAGAAGAAGAAGAACAAGAGAGAUGCUGAAAGCGCAGCAGUGUGUCUGACCUGAGGGAAGAAUGAUUCCUGGGAACAAUGACCGGACGCUCAGCAGAUACUAGUUGUAGGACUCUUUCCUGGCUUUCAGCACAGUGAAAACAAAGGUCAUCUAUUUGGGCAUUUAUUUCCCAAAGAUGGAGGGCUGUUAUCUUUUCUUUCAUGACCUUCCUGACAUUAUGCUGCAAAGGAAACAUUUAGAAUAAUAUUUCACCUACUUUGCAUCAAUUUUACAGCAACUGCAACGUAAUUAUGCACCUGUAACUUUUGUGAAAUGUCAAUCUGUCUGUCAUACUGCACAAAUUAAUAUCCUUUAACAAUCUAUAAACAUGCACUCUAUUUAGCAACAGAAGAGCAAAAACACUGAUAGUUUAUACUAAAUUGCUGUUUUCUAAUUUUAAUAAACUGAUUAAAGAUACAUUUUUAAUGUAAAUAUUAGGGAUGCAUGAUGAUAUCAGUAUCAUCAUUGGUAGAUGAUAAAUGCUAUGAAAUAAGAUAUGAUCAUAACCAUUGACAAGCAGAUAAUGCCUGCAAGGCUAAGGGCUUGAAGUUUUGUUUGAAAAUUGUACAUAAAAAUAAAUAAUAUGGACUGUUUUACAUGUAAGUUGAUUUCUUAUUUUGCUCAGUGAAUUUGUACAUCUGAAAAGCAUUGUUUUUUGUCUGUACCUGCAAGAGGGCCAUGACAAUAGGAACAGGCC